GACGAACGCUGACGGUGUGCUUUAGACAUGCAAGUCGAACGCGAAAGCCCUUCGGGGUUAGUAGAGUGGCGAACGGGCGAGUAACACGUGGGCAAUCUGCCCCUCGCAGGGGGACGAACCGGAGGAAACUCCGGCUAAUACCCCGUACGCUUGCUGGACCGCAUGGUCCGGCAAGGAAAGGUAGCUUCGGCCAUCCGGCGAGGGAUGAGCCCGCGGUGCAUUAGCUAGUUGGUGAGGUAACGGCUCACCCAAGGCAACGAUGCAUAGCUGGUCUGAGAGGAUGAUCAGCCACACUGGGACUGAGACACGGCCCAGACUCCUACGGGAGGCAGCAGUCGGGAAUCUUGCGCAAUGGGCGAAAGCCUGACGCAGCAACACCGUGUGAGCGACGAA
rnacentral:rRNA from 1 species